rnacentral:SRP_RNA from 1 species
GCUGGAUAUAGUGGUGAACUCUUUGCCUGUGGGGAGCCUGAGGCUGGCAGAUCCCUUGAGCUCAGGUGUUCUGGGCUGCAGUGGUCUAUCUAUACUAAUCGAGAGUCUGCACUAAGUCUGCCAUCAAUAUGGUCUAGGAGUGAGGCACCUGGUUGCCUAAGAAGUGGUGAACCAGACCACAGUGGAAAUGGAACAGGUUAAAGCUCCCAUGACAAUCAUCUGUGGGAUAGGGCCUGUGAGUAGACCUUGUACUUCCAAAAUAAGUGAAAUAGGGAAAGGCAGUCUUU